rnacentral:lncRNA from 1 species
UGGUGAAAAGUAGGCCAAACAAAGACAAAAUAAAGUAAUGCAUCGUGCUUGAGAGUGUGUCUCAUCCACAUUUUCAUCAAGAUCUAUAAGUCUAGCACAUCUGAACCAGAAAAACAUAGUUUAAAGUCGAAGCUACCAGAGUGACCAACAGAUGACAAAAGGAACCAGGCAUAUCAAAGCUUUAGUAAUCACUGGGUGCUUAUCAAGUGCCAUCAAGUACCUGAACGAAGUAAUAGAAAUUUGUUAAUAUUUUCUCCAUCUAGUGAAAGAAGGUUCAGGAAUCUAACACUACAACUCAUAUAGCUUCAAAUUAAAUCUUCUAACAAAGAACAGACUCGAUCAUGAACUCAUCAGAGAACUGUCAGGACUUACAUGCCAACUCACUGACCAAAAUAUAGUUAGAACAUUUCUCCUUGGCAGACUUUGAUUGGGUUUUAGCCAUGAGCC